UACGUAGGGUCCGAGCGUUGUCCGGAAUUAUUGGGCGUAAAGAGCUCGUAGGCGGUUUGUCGCGUCUGCUGUGAAAUCCCGAGGCUCAACCUCGGGUCUGCAGUGGGUACGGGCAGACUGGAGUGCGGUAGGGGAGAAUGGAAUUCCUGGUGUAGCGGUGGAAUGCGUAGAUAUCUGGAGGAAUACCGGUGGCGAAGGCGGCAUCCUGGACCGACAUUGACGCUGAUGAGCGAAAGCUAGGGGAGCAAACGGG
rnacentral:rRNA from 1 species